CUGGACCUCGCGGAACAGUCGGUUUGUACCAGAUCCUACUGGCCCGCCAAGUCCUGAU
rnacentral:pre_miRNA from 1 species